rnacentral:rRNA from 1 species
AAUAGAUACCCCGGUAGUCCACCCCGUAAACGUUGGGAACUAGUUGUGGGUCCAUUCCACGGAUUCCGUGACGCAGCUAACGCAUUAAGUUCCCCGCCUGGGGAGUACGGCCGCAAGGCUAAAACUCAAAGGAAUUGACGGGGACCCGCACAAGCGGCGGAGCAUGCGGAUUAAUUCGAUGCAACGCGAAGAACCUUACCAAGGCUUGACAUAUAGAGGAAACGGCUGGAAACAGUCGCCCGCAAGGUCUCUAUACAGGUGGUGCAUGGUUGUCGUCAGCUCGUGUCGUGAGAUGUUGGGUUAAGUCCCGCAACGAGCGCAACCCUCGUUCUAUGUUGCCAGCACGUAAUGGUGGGAACUCAUGGGAUACUGCCGGGGUCAACUCGGAGGAAGGUGGGGAUGACGUCAAAUCAUCAUGCCCCUUAUGUCUUGGGCUUCACGCAUGCUACAAUGGCCGGUACAAAGGGCUGCAAUACCGUAAGGUGGAGCGAAUCCCAAAAAGCCGGUCCCAGUUCGGAUUGAGGUCUGCAACUCGACCUCA